UACGGAGGAUCCAAGCGUUAUCCGGAUUUAUUGGGUUUAAAGGGUGCGUAGGCGGUUUCUUAAGUCAGUGGUGAAAGUUUGCAGCUCAACUGUAAAAUUGCCAUUGAAACUGGGAGACUUGAGUAUGGUAGAGGUAAGCGGAAUGCGUUGUGUAGCGGUGAAAUGCUUAGAUAUAACGCAGAACCCCAAUUGCGAAGGCAGCUUGCUGGACCAUUACUGACGCUGAGGCACGAAAGCGUGGGGAU
rnacentral:rRNA from 1 species